rnacentral:misc_RNA from 1 species
AAGUCGUAACAAGGUUUCCGUAGGUGAACCUGCGGAAGGAUCAUUAAAGAGUUAGGGUCCUAGUGGCCCCAACCUCCAACCCCUUCUGAUGUUAAACUACUUGUUGCGUUGGCGGACCGUUCGGUCUCCGAGCGCGUUAACCCUCGGGUUGGCGAGCGCCCGCCAGAGUCCAACCAAACCCUUGUAUUAAACCAGUCGUCUGAGUAUAAAAUUUUAAUUAAAUUAAAA